rnacentral:other from 1 species
GACACCCUGUAGUGUUCGAGGUGCUUUUCAAUAACAGCUCUUUGCCUUUGUAAUCAUUUGGGAACCGUAAAACCGUGUGGAUGCCAGGCCGUAAACCGGAAGGCAGAAGUGCGGUGGUUGGUGCCCACCUUAACCUAAAAAGGAAGUGAGCCUUUGGGCAUACGGCACAGGCGGGGUGUCA